CUCAGUGACACGGGGUGCCCGCACGAUUGCGGGCUGAGAACACACCCGUCGAACCUGAUCUAGUUAGAACUAGCGAAGGGAUGUCCGCGGAUGAGUAU
rnacentral:ncRNA from 1 species